rnacentral:rRNA from 1 species
GGGUUGUGAGGUUAAGCGACUAAGCGUACACGGUGGAUGCCCUGGCAGUCAGAGGCGAUGAAGGACGUGCUAAUCUGCGAUAAGCGUCGGUAAGGUGAUAUGAACCGUUAUAACCGGCGAUUUCCGAAUGGGGAAACCCAGUGUGUUUCGACACACUAUCAUUAACUGAAUCCAUAGGUUAAUGAGGCGAACCGGGGGAACUGAAACAUCUAAGUACCCCGAGGAAAAGAAAUCAACCGAGAUUCCCCCAGUAGCGGCGAGCGAACGGGGAGCAGCCCAGAGCCUGAAUCAGUGUGUGUGUUAGUGGAAGCGUCUGGAAAGGCGCGCGAUACAGGGUGACAGCCCCGUACACAAAAAUGCACAUGCUGUGAGCUCGAUGAGUAGGGCGGGACACGUGGUAUCCUGUCUGAAUAUGGGGGGACCAUCCUCCAAGGCUAAAUACUCCUGACUGACCGAUAGUGAACCAGUACCGUGAGGGAAAGGCGAAAAGAACCCCGGCGAGGGGAGUGAAAAAGAACCUGAAACCGUGUACGUACAAGCAGUGGGAGCACGCUUCGGCGUGUGACUGCGUACCUUUUGUAUAAUGGGUCAGCGACUUAUAUUCUGUAGCAAGGUUAACCGAAUAGGGGAGCCGAAGGGAAACCGAGUCUUAACUGGGCGUUAAGUUGCAGGGUAUAGACCCGAAACCCGGUGAUCUAGCCAUGGGCAGGUUGAAGGUUGGGUAACACUAACUGGAGGACCGAACCGACUAAUGUUGAAAAAUUAGCGGAUGACUUGUGGCUGGGGGUGAAAGGCCAAUCAAACCGGGAGAUAGCUGGUUCUCCCCGAAAGCUAUUUAGGUAGCGCCUCGUGAAUUCAUCUCCGGGGGUAGAGCACUGUUUCGGCAAGGGGGUCAUCCCGACUUACCAACCCGAUGCAAACUGCGAAUACCGGAGAAUGUUAUCACGGGAGACACACGGCGGGUGCUAACGUCCGUCGUGAAGAGGGAAACAACCCAGACCGCCAGCUAAGGUCCCAAAGUCAUGGUUAAGUGGGAAACGAUGUGGGAAGGCCCAGACAGCCAGGAUGUUGGCUUAGAAGCAGCCAUCAUUUAAAGAAAGCGUAAUAGCUCACUGGUCGAGUCGGCCUGCGCGGAAGAUGUAACGGGGCUAAACCAUGCACCGAAGCUGCGGCAGCGACGCUGAUGCGUUGUUGGGUAGGGGAGCGUUCUGUAAGCCUGUGAAGGUGUGCUGUGAGGCAUGCUGGAGGUAUCAGAAGUGCGAAUGCUGACAUAAGUAACGAUAAAGCGGGUGAAAAGCCCGCUCGCCGGAAGACCAAGGGUUCCUGUCCAACGUUAAUCGGGGCAGGGUGAGUCGACCCCUAAGGCGAGGCCGAAAGGCGUAGUCGAUGGGAAACAGGUUAAUAUUCCUGUACUUGGUGUUACUGCGAAGGGGGGACGGAGAAGGCUAUGUUGGCCGGGCGACGGUUGUCCCGGUUUAAGCGUGUAGGCUGGUUUUCCAGGCAAAUCCGGAAAAUCAAGGCUGAGGCGUGAUGACGAGGCACUACGGUGCUGAAGCAACAAAUGCCCUGCUUCCAGGAAAAGCCUCUAAGCAUCAGGUAACAUCAAAUCGUACCCCAAACCGACACAGGUGGUCAGGUAGAGAAUACCAAGGCGCUUGAGAGAACUCGGGUGAAGGAACUAGGCAAAAUGGUGCCGUAACUUCGGGAGAAGGCACGC